UACGAAGGGGGCUAGCGUUGCUCGGAAUCACUGGGCGUAAAGCGCACGUAGGCGGCUUUGUAAGUUAGAGGUGAAAGCCCGGGGCUCAACCCCGGAAUAGCCUUUAAGACUGCAUCGCUUGAAUCCGGGAGAGGUGAGUGGAAUUCCGAGUGUAGAGGUGAAAUUCGUAGAUAUUCGGAAGAACACCAGUGGCGAAGGCGGCUCACUGGACCGGUAUUGACGCUGAGGUGCGAAAGCGUGGGGAGCAAACAGG
rnacentral:rRNA from 1 species